CUAAUACAUGCAAGUCGUACGCUGAAGCGCUCUGCUUGCAGAGCGCGGAUGAGUGGCGAACGGGUGAGUAACACGUGGGCAACCUGCCUGUAAGAUCGGGAUAACUCCGGGAAACCGGGGCUAAUACCGGAUAACCCGUGCCUCCUCCUGGAGGCGCGUUGAAAGGCGGCUUCGGCUGUCGCUUACAGAUGGGCCCGCGGCGUAUUAGCUUGUUGGUGGGGUAACGGCCCACCAAGGCGACGAUGCGUAGCCGACCUGAGAGGGUGAUCGGCCACACUGGAACUGAGACACGGUCCAGACUCCUACGGGAGGCAGCAGUAGGGAAUCUUCCGCAAUGGGCGAAAGCCUGACGGAGCAACGCCGCGUGUGCGAAGAAGGUCUUCGGAUCGUAAAGCACUGUUGUUAAGGAAGAACGACAGUAAGAGUAACUGCUUACUGUGUGACGGUACUUAACCAGAAAGCCACGGCUAACUACGUGCCAGCAGCCGCGGUAAUACGUAGGUGGCAAGCGUUAUCCGGAAUUAUUGGGCGUAAAGCGCGCGUAGGCGGCGAGAUUAGUCUGAUGUGAAAGCCCCCGGCUCAACCGGGGAAGGUCAUUGGAAACUGUUUCGCUUGAGUGCAGAAGAGGAGAGUGGAAUUCCAUGUGUAGCGGUGAAAUGCGCAGAGAUAUGGAGGAACACCAGUGGCGAAGGCGGC
rnacentral:rRNA from 1 species